UAACUGGCUCCUAAAAAGAAAGCCAAAAUAAAUUGUUUUGCUUAAUCCAAAGCUCCUAGGAUCAUUACAAUAAAUCUAAAUUGAUUUCGGCUGAAUGUUUUCAAAGGAACUCAGGGGAGCUAGGUGGUCAUCUUCCAUUGAAUUUCAAAACUCUCUAAUCUAUUAAGUAUUGAUUGGACAGUGUGCUCCCUCUUGAAGUCCUUUUUUAAGGCCAUGGUAUUGUUGGGAGAGCUGGCAGAGAUCAUCCUGAGAUGGAUGUGACACAAUAUAAAUCUGAAAAACAGCAGCAAUUAAAGAAAUGUUGCAUAUUCAUUAAAGAGAUUGGAUACUUACGAGCUGAAAGUGUCACUUCAACCAACCCAGAAGUCUUGGAGCCAACGAUAGAAUAACAGAAAACAACUUGAAUUUAAACAGGCAUGAAAGAGGUGGCGGUACCAUCUUGAGAAGCCUCAAGAAAGAAGAUGCACAACACAUGUCUUGCUGUUUUAGACUUCGCAAUCUAACUGGAGAAACUUACUUUGUGCCAAUAGGCAUUGCUCACAUCUCAUUCAACUUCUCUGCCAAUAUGUAAUGAAGUCUGAUGUUUGAUGCUGAAUGGUGGAUGGACUUGUAGAUAAAACACUGGACUGGAAGUUAGGAGUGUAAGACUGGAAGAAAGGCCUGCAAUAAAUGAUGAAAUGGC